UCCGAGUUGUCCCCGGCAGUCCUUUUAGAGUCCCCGGCAUUACCCGCUGGCAACUAAAAGCAGGGGUUGCGCUCGUUGCGGCACUUAAGCCAACACCUCACGGCACGAGCUGACGACAGCCAUGCAGCACCUGUGCUAGCCCCUCUCGGACACGGGCUUUCACCCGCUUUAACUAGCAUGUCAAGCCCAGGUAAGGUGGGGAUGACGUCAAGGUACGGAC
rnacentral:misc_RNA from 1 species